AUUGAACGCUGGCGGCAUGCCUUACACAUGCAAGUCGAACGGUAACAGGUCUUUCGGGAUGCUGACGAGUGGCGAACGGGUGAGUAAUACAUCGGAACGUGCCUAGUAGUGGGGGAUAACUACUCGAAAGAGUGGCUAAUACCGCAUGAGAUCUAUGGAUGAAAGCAGGGGACCUUCGGGCCUUGUGCUACUAGAGCGGCCGAUGGCAGAUUAGGUAGUUGGUGGGAUAAAAGCUUACCAAGCCUACGAUCUGUAGCUGGUCUGAGAGGACGAUCAGCCACACUGGGACUGAGACACGGCCCAGACUCCUACGGGAGGCAGCAGUGGGGAAUUUUGGGCAAUGGGCGCAAGCCUGAUCCAGCAAUGCCGCGUGCAGGAUGAAGGCCUUCGGGUUGUAAACUGCUUUUGUACGGAACGAAAAGUCUUGGGUUAAUACCCUGGGAUCAUGACGGUACCGUAAGAAUAAGCACCGGCUAACUACGUGCCAGCAGCCGCUGUAAAAC
rnacentral:rRNA from 1 species